rnacentral:tRNA from 1 species
GCGGGUAUAGUUUAGUGGUAGAACAAGAGAUUUCCAAUCUCUUGGCGAGGGUCCGAUUCCCUCUACCCGCU